UACAGAGGGUGCAAGCGUUAUUCGGAAUCACUGGGCGUAAAGAGCACGUAGGUGGUUUGCUAAGUCAGAUGUGAAAUCCCUGGACCCAAUCCAGGAACUGCAUCUGAUACUGGUAAACUAGAGUAUAGGAGAGGAAGGCGGAAUUCCAGGUGUAGAGGUGAAAUUCGUAGAUAUCUGGAGGAACAACAGAGGCGAAGGCGGCCUUCUGGACUAUUACUGACACUGAGGUGCGAAAGCGUGGGGAGCAAACAGG
rnacentral:rRNA from 1 species